rnacentral:lncRNA from 1 species
UGUUUGUUUCCCCUGGGGCCUCUCCAUCCUUGCUGAACUAUGGUACGUCUCUCCUUCAUGUGCUGCCUGGGGUUGAGGAGAAGUGGCAUAGAGAUACAAGCCUCCUGGGUGAUGAGAAAGACAGAGAAGCAUUUUUCAUAGAGAGUUGCCAGGAUUGCUCAGCAUCCAGAUCAACCAUGAAAGGCACCAGGAGAAUGAACAUCUGCAUUUUUCUUGUCCAUGAUUCUUCUACAUAAUGCUACUGAAGCGAAGAUAAUCUUUCAGUCUCCAUUCAGCUGGCCAGCACCUGCUCGGGUUUCCUAGCAUUCAUGUCCAGCUCCUCCUUCUUUUUGCCCCUCCUUCCCAGCAGAGCACAGGUGUUGGAAAGCUGGGCACUGUGGAAAAGCAAGGGGCAUAAGUUUGUGAGCCACAGUGGGUAGGGUGUCUGUGGGGCCUUUCUGUGCAUUUUUCUCUAUUAGUGGUUAAAAAAACAACCUAUCAGCUUGAGGAAAAGCCAAUUAACAAGUCUAGAGCCAAGAAUUGUACUGCAUCCACACUGUAUUUGAAAUGGUACACCCCAAUCACUUCCUCUGAAAUCAAUCAAGUUGUUAUUGUUUGUUCAUGGUUUCAUCUGCCAUUCUGAAUAGCAUGUCCCUCAUAAGCUGGAACUUCUCUUUGCCCAUCUGUGUAUCUUCAAGAUCUGAUUCACAGUGUGCAAUGCUGUUGAAUUGAAUUAUUAAACUGGACUGAGUCUCAAAUUAUUCAUGCAUCUUCUGAUUUAUUAGUUCAUCAUUUAUUGAGAACUAUGAGCUAGUUUCUGGAGGAAAAAUUAUGAAUAGGAUUUCUUUUCUGUCACAGAGAGGCUCAUAAUUAGUGUGGGAGAUGGAUAUAUAAACUAAUAAUUACAAUAACAAUAAGAAAACACUCUAACAUAUUUAUGCAUGAAAUGUUAUGAAAGCAUAUAAGAUGCAAUGAUUCAUUAACUCUUCUUGGGGAGUCAAGGAGUGAAAAUACAGCUAGAUUUUCAAGGAUGACUAUAUAAUCAAGAGGCAGAGAAUUCAAGCCAAAGGAAAAGGAAUAAUAAGUACAACGGCAUGGAAGCACAAACAAUAAUACUAAAACAUGGAUAAUUAACAUUUAUAUUACACUAUGCAUCAGGCUACAUUCUGGGCCACACACACAGUCAUUUAAUACGCAUAAAACCCUAUGAGAUAAGUACUUUUAUUAUUCCCAAUUUACAUAAAUGAAGACUGAGGCACAUAGGCGAAUGAUAAAGGAAAGAUGCAAAUCCAGGUAGUCAUGCUCCAUCACUGCUAUGCAAUGCAACAAAUUGUCAUGGAAUCACACAAAAUGAAAUACUAUUCAACACUAAAAUGACUAAAUAUCUGUUACAUACAACAACACGGAUGAAUCCCUAAAACAGUAGAAGUGAAAGAAAUAAGGUAUGCAAGUUUAAAUUACAAGCUAUUUCCAGGAAGUAUCAACAGUUUCAUACCAAAAUGUAUCCCCAGACCAACACUGUAUGGCCCUGGAGAUGCAC